rnacentral:rRNA from 1 species
UGCCAGCCGCCGCGGUAAUACGGGGGGAGCAAGCGUUGUCCGGAAUCAUUGGGCGUAAAGGGUGCGCAGGCGGGCUUGUAAGUCAGUGGUGAAAUACUGCCGCUCAACGGUAGGGCUGCCAUUGAUACUGCAUUUCUUGAGUAUGGUUGAGGUAGGCGGAAUGUGCGGUGUAGCGGUGAAAUGCAUAGAUAUCGCCCAGAACGCCGAUUGCGAAGGCAGCUUACUAAACCAUUACUGACGCUGAGGCACGAAAGCGUGGGUAGCGAACAGGAUUAGAUA